rnacentral:ncRNA from 2 species
GAGCAUGUCGCAAAGGCUGGUGCCCGUGUAAACGGGUGAAAAGGGAAGCUGCAGCCGGGCCUGGCCCCGGCGAGGCACGCCGCCCCCGCGACCGUAACCGGAGAGGUCGCCCAGGUGCCACUGGUCCCGCGAGAGGGCCGGGAAGGCCGGGCGACCGUCGGAGUCCCGCAUGCGCCCCACGGCGCCGCGUCGGGCCCCGGGAUCCGCAAGCCGGGAGACCUGCCAGCACGAAACGACGUGG